GGGAGGAUUAGGAGUGGAUGACAGAGAAACGGUCGGAGGCGGCUCCGUUGAACACCCCUUUAAGAACAAGGGUGCUGCGAAGACACACCCCUUCCUCUAGCGCCAAUCCUGUUGGUGCAAAAAUCUGCUUGCGCCGGAGAAGCUGGAGUCGGGGAAGCCGCGGUCGCCGCUGGGACCUGCAUGGGAAGUCUAAACCGGAGGUGGGGUU
rnacentral:lncRNA from 1 species